rnacentral:rRNA from 1 species
CCUACGGGUGGCUGCAGUGAGGAAUAUUGGUCAAUGGGCGGGAGCCUGAACCAGCCAAGUCGCGUGAGGGAAGACGGUCCUAUGGAUUGUAAACCUCUUUAGGCGGGGAGCAAUGCCGGGCACGCGUGCCCGGAGGGAGAGUACCCGCAGAAUAAGCAUCGGCUAACUCCGUGCCAGCAGCCGCGGUAAUACGGAGGAUGCGAGCGUUAUCCGGAAUUACUGGGCGUAAAGGGUGCGUAGGUGGUUUCUUAAGUCAGAGGUGAAAGGCUACGGCUCAACCGUAGUAAGCCUUUGAAACUGGGGAACUUGAGUGCAGGAGAGGAGAGUGGAAUUCCUAGUGUAGCGGUGAAAUGCGUAGAUAUUAGGAGGAACACCAGUUGCGAAGGCGGCUCUCUGGACUGUAACUGACACUGAGGCACGAAAGCGUGGGGAGCAAACAGGAUUAGAUACCCUAGUAGUC